GUGACUGAACAUCUAAGUAACCGGAGGAAAAGAAAACAAUAGUGAUUUCCUUAGUAGCGGCGAGCGAACUGGAAUAAGCCCAAACUGUAUUUGUUUUUGCAAGUACAGGGUUGUAGGACUUUUAUAAUUAUGAUUAAACUUAGUAGAAUACACUGGAAAGUGUAACCACAGAGGGUGAUAGUCCCGUAGACAAAAAGUUUUUGAUUAAGAAAAGUAUCCUGAGUACCACGGAACAUGUGUAAUUUUGUGGGAAUCUGCCAGAACCAUCUGGUAAGGCUAAAUAUAAAUAGAAAACCGAUAGUGAACUAGUACCGUGAGGGAAAGAUGAAAAGUAUUCUGAAUAAGAAAGUGAAAUAGAACCUGAAAUCAUAUAUUUACAAGCGGUAGAAGUCUUCGGACGACUGCGUGCCUUUUGCAUAAUGAGCCUACGAGUUGCUCUUAUCUAGCAAGGUUAAGUCAAAUUGACGGAGCCAAAGCGAAAGCGAGUCUUAACAGGGCGUAUAGUUAGGUGAGGCAGACGCGAAACCAAGUGAUCUACCCAUGACCAGGUUGAAGCUGUAGUAACAUACAGUGAAGGACCGAACCAGUUGACGUUGAAAAGUCUUUGGAUGAGUUGUGGGUAGGGGUGAAAGGCUAAUCAAACUUGGAAAUAGCUCGUUCUCCCCGAAAUGCAUUUAGGUGCAGCCUCGGGAUUUAUUGUCGUAGAGGUAGAGAUACUGGUAAGGCUAGGGGGCUUCACCGCCUACCAAACUUUGUCAAACUCCUAAUACUACGACAUUUGCCCGGGAGUGAGGGCAUGG
rnacentral:rRNA from 1 species